rnacentral:misc_RNA from 1 species
AAUUAAUUAUAAUUUAUGUAUCACGAAUUGAAUUGAUAUAAUUCAUGUAUUGUGUACUGAAUUAACGUACCGAUUAAGUCUACUCCCCGUGUACCCUAUAUUUAGCUAAGUGGCGAAUCGUGUACCCGUACCUGUACCGGUACCACAAUCCAAGACGUUCCACGUUCCAGGUUCUGAUAUCAAAGUCUUGAAAGGAAAUGGUGGCUGGAGUUUGGAAACAAGGUUGCAAGAAUUCUUGAUAAUUGAAACUCAAGCUAUUGGGUUGUUAUUAUUUGGAAGCCUGAGGAAUCAAUGGUGUCAGCUGUCCCUUUUUUUUUUUAAAACUGAGGAAGGGUAAGAAAGAUAAAUUUCAGUUUCUGCUCAGGAGAUGUGAAUUGUACAGAUUUUCAUUCAUAUUUGGCAUGGUAAAGUUGGGAUUUUGUAAAUCAUACUUAGGGUUUUAAGAAAUAAGGACUCAAGGAUCAAGUCGGGUUGAUGAAACAAUUACAACAGUGCAGUUAAUUAGAACAAAAAAAAGUGCAAGAAAAUAGGAGGAGAAAAACGUGCAUUCUCAAGACAAUUGAGAAGUCCCUAAUCAAAAACUGUUGAAUUCUCAAAUUAAUGUUACUGGAAACUCUAACUAAAGGAGGAGUCACAUUAUUGGUAGAUGCUUAUCCCACUGAAUAGAGAGAGUAGACUUCUCCAGCGACCACUUAACACAGAAGUGCAGCAUCUUAUGUUUAUUAUUUCUAACAAGUUAGUACUUCCUUUGUUUGCUUUAGAGCAGGGGAAAAGGUGAUAUUUUGAAUAGAAUGAAAUAAAGACUGCUGCAAAUGAAGAUUUGAGGAUCCCAUCCAACCUUCUUCUUAUGACAAUUAUGUUUAUGGAUGUAAUAAUCUUCCCAUAGAAGUCUAUGGCCUACUUCUGUACAUCUUAAAGCUCCUCCCAUUUUUCUUGCAAAAAUUACCUAAAGUCUUUUAUCCAAAGUCUGCAUACAUUUUUAUCAUAUCAUUAUAAAAUUUAUUGAAUUUUGGUGUUUCAUCCAAAGUCUCUGUACAUUUUAUAUCAUAUCAAAAUCCUUGUAUGCAUUAGUGCAAUUUGUCAUUCCUCAAAGAGGCAUAAUGAUUCAUGACUGGGUUCCAAAAAUGGAUACCAAAAAUGGAUAAAAACAUCAUGAAUCAUCUGGAUCACAAUAGAAUUUUGUCUGGCUGAUAUUUUUGCUGUGAAUUUUAGAUUCAUGGCUGUGUAGUCUAUAGCGUAAUGACAUGGAUGAAACAUCUGAUACUUUGUGAUGGAAGAUAUGCAAUUGCUUUUUCGUCCCAGAAAAUAAAGAGGAAACUGGAAAGAGAGGAAGAAAAAAGGAGUGGAGAGGGACAAUGGCUACUCGUGUGACCUGACUCUGUCUUCUUUUCUUUUUAAUUUUAUCUCCUUUCAAAAUCCCUAAUUUUUAUUUUUGUUUCUCUAUAAAAUCAUACCAGUGGCUCAUACUUAAAAGUUCUAUUUAUGCUAAGUUUACCUUUUAUAUAUUGACAAAAAGAGCUUCUGGCCCAUUUAUAUAAAAAAGCAUCUGUCAUUUUGUUCUUAUAAAUUAUUCGAUUAUUAUAUUUAUUUUUUUAUUAUUCCAUUUUUAUGAUAUAGUCAUAGAACUGUGUUAAAUUCCAGCUUAAUUCUGGUUAAAUGCAAGUGAAAUCUUCAGCUAGACCACAUUAAGACUCGAUACUGCGUUCACAAUUAGGUGUUUGGACAUAGUACAAUUGAUAGUUCUUUUGCUUCAGCAGUAGUCACUGUUACUUGAGGAAUGCUACGACUGCAAAUAAAGUAAAUUUAGCUCUCUUGUACUUCAUUUGUUCCUUUGUCUCAAACAUAAAUCUGUGAUGAUUUUGAGAACCUUCUAGAUCUGUUUCAUUUUUUCCAACUUCCCACUUUUGAAUGAAUUAUAGUGUUGCUAAUGUAAUACAAGUCACUGAACAGAUUAAAUUGAUAGAUGUGCUCCUGAUUUGCUAUUGUUAUCCUCCUGAAAUUGUUUGCUAACUUUCCAAUGUUAUGCAUGUUCAAUAUUUUUGACAACUGCAUUUCUAAGAAGAUAUUGAGUUGUUGACCACUCUUUUGUUGGCUAAAAUCUUGUUUCUAUUUUGACAGCUUGAAGAUAAUGUGUGGGAUGAAUUUAGUGAGAGUGAUGACCAUAUAGUACCUCAUCCUGCUGAGGAAAGUAGGGAUCAAUUUAGAGUUCACAGUGAUAACCAUAAGAAACCACGGCUUGAAGUAAUUUGUGUUGUGAGUAAUGCUGGUGAUGCUUCUAGAUAUACUCAGAGAAAAGAGGAAACUAGCUUGCCUACCCUGACCAGGAAGGAUAGGAUGCUAGAUAAGGGUUCAUGGUCUCAUGCACCUGAUGGUGUAUUUCCUGCUUCUUGUGAUAGUGGCACAGUCAAAGAGGUGACAAGUAUGGCAUCUGAAGAAACAAGACCAUCCUAUCAUUUUUUGAAAAAUAGGAAUGCUGGUUCUGUUGGCAGCGAGUUCUGUUCUGAUGAUCCCAUCUUGGGUGAAAAGAGUACUGCAGAUGAUACUGACACACAUCUUUUUCCACUCAGUCACGUAUCACAGACAGACAAUGAUCUUAACUUUUUUGACAAUGAUCGUGAAGACAAAGAAAACAGCGAUCUAUUAUAUUAUGGGUGGCCUGAUGACAUAGGAAAUUUUGAAGAUGUUGACAGGAUGUUUAGAAGCUGUGAUUCAACAUUUGGGUUGGGUAGUCUCAGUAAUGAGGAUGACUUGUGCUGGUUUUCGUCAUCUCAUUCUGCUGAAGGAGCUGACGAUGCACUGAAGUUGGCUUCUAAUUUUUCAAGUUCUGAGGCAAGUGCAUUGAAUUUGAAUUGCAUAUCAGAACAUCACGAUGCUUCUAUGCUGAACAAUGAGGAUGCUUCGGUCAAUGAUUCUAAUAAGGGAAGUCUAUUAAUGGGUGACAAAAUAAGUUCCAAUACUGCUGGAGCUGCUGACAAUUCUCCUUUUACUCACUUGCAAUUUCCGAACAGAUCAGAUGCAAAAUCUAUUAAUAACCAUAGAAGUCAGGCAAGGCAACGAAACCACUCAGAAGGAAAGAGAAAAGAACGAAACCUGGAUAAUGGUGGUUCUUUCCAUCGUAAUGGUAACUUAAAGCAAUUUGCAGAUACACAGUGUUCACAUGGGGAUCCACCUCAUCAAGUUUUUUCUCCUCCAGGUGCCCAGCAACGUAAACAAAACAUAGUUUCAGAUUCCUUGAAUCACUUGCAGACACAUAUUCCAUAUAUGCAUAUGGACCAUGGUCAUUCUUCAAAUCAAACUUCAGUUGGUCCAAAUCAAUCUGGAAUCAAAUCUGAAAGUAAUGGCCUCCCAUCUCCUCCUCCAAAGGAGUCUUCAUUUGAAUCAAAUCAAGUUCAAUCCAUGGAGAGUUCACAUAGUCCCUCAUUAGAGGCUCCUGCUAUAACAACUGAGAAGAGGGAAAGGCUGUAUCAUAACCAGGAUUUACAAGUCCCAUAUGCCAGGAGUUUCAAAUGUGCAAAUAUUGCUAGUCCUACAGCAUUUUAUGAUUCAGUUCAGAGUCAAGCCCGUCAAUCUGGGUGUGAGGUUGAAGGUCACAGUGAGAUUGAAGGAGGUAGCAUGGGGAUUCCAGCAGAGCUAGAUUCUGCAAAUGCUCAGGAAAGCUCCUGCAUGAGCUCUGUGUUAGAUGAAAUCUCGCUAGAAGCAACCAGUUUUCGUCAGCUUCAACAAGUCAUGGAACAGUUGGAUAUUAGGACAAAACUGUGCAUAAGAGAUAGUCUGUAUCGCUUGGCUAGGAGUGCUGAACAAAGGCAUAAUUGUGUGAAUGCAAAUGGUGGUAAGAGAGAUGACAGACACACUGGCAGUCCAUUGAUGGCCGAAGAAACAAACAAGAGCACUGGAUUCCUUGAUAUGGAAACGGAUACAAAUCCCAUAGAUCGAUCUAUAGCACAUUUACUGUUUCAUAGGCCCCCAGAUUCAUCUGUGAUGCCUGUCAAUGAUGCUUUGUCUCUAAAAUCUCACGCCAUGGUUCAUGGGUCUGUAACCAGUCCACGUAUGAUAGCCAAGGAACAAAUUUGCCAGGACGAAACUGCCAGUGAUGCAGAUGAAAGUUUGUUAAUGAGUGGCAAUAAACAAUAAAGAACUAACAUGGCUCACUCAUUGUAGAAUUUGCCUUUUUUUUUUUUCUUAAGAGUAUUGCACAUCAAGAUGUACAAUAACUUUUCAUGAGGCUCCAACAUAGAUACCAGUUCAAUUCUUUGUUUGGAUCCUCAACAUUUCUCAGAUGUUAUACGAUCAACCCUGAUGUUUAUCCUUGGAUUGGCUAACAUACUUAUCUGUUUAACUGUCUUAUUUCCUGAGAUUUUUAUUUGUUCCUCUUGUAAAACAUGCUUUAUUUUAGUUUUGAUUUGUGGAUACAAC